rnacentral:rRNA from 1 species
GAGUACAGUAGAGGUGGGCGGAAUUCGUGGUGUAGCGGUGAAAUGCUUAGAUAUCACGAAGAACUCCGAUUGCGAAGGCAGCUCACUGGACUGCAACUGACACUGAUGCUCGAAAGUGUGGGUAUCAAACAGGAUUAGAUACCCUGGUAGUCCACACAGUAAACGAUGAAUACUCGCUGUUUGCGAUAUACAGUAAGCGGCCAAGCGAAAGCAUUAAGUAUUCCACCUGGGGAGUACGCCGGCAACGGUGAAACUCAAAGGAAUUGACGGGGGCCCGCACAAGCGGAGGAACAUGUGGUUUAAUUCGAUGAUACGCGAGGAACCUUACCCGGGCUUAAAUUGCAGUGGAAUGAUGUGGAAACAUGUCAGUGAGCAAUCACCGCUGUGAAGGUGCUGCAUGGUUGUCGUCAGCUCGUGCCGUGAGGUGUCGGCUUAAGUGCCAUAACGAGCGCAACCCUUAUCUUCAGUUACUAACAGGUCAUGCUGAGGACUCUGGAGAGACUGCCGUCGUAAGAUGUGAGGAAGGUGGGGAUGACGUCAAAUCAGCACGGCCCUUACGUCCGGGGCUACACACGUGUUACAAUGGGGGGUACAGAAGGCAGCUAGCGGGUGACCGUAUGCUAAUCCCAAAAUCCUCUCUCAGUUCGGAUCGAAGUCUGCAACCCGACUUCGUGAAGCUGGAUUCGCUAGUAAUCGCGCAUCAGCCACGGCGCGGUGAAUACGUUCCCGGGCCUUGUACACACCGCCCGUCAAGCCAUGGGAGCCGGGGGUACCUGAAGUACGUAACCGCAAGGAUCGUCCUAGGGUAAAACUGGUGACUGGGGCUAAGUCGUAACAAGGUAACCA